rnacentral:tRNA from 1 species
GGAGAGAUGUCCGAGCGGUUUAAGGAGCACGCCUGGAAAGCGUGUAUAGGGCAACUCUAUCGGGGGUUCGAAUCCCCCUCUCUCCGCCA